AACAGAUUAUACAAUGUUUUCAAUAAAAUAUUGGCAAAAUGUUUCAUAAUAAUAGAGGAAGAACUUUCUUUCAGCCACAUUAGGAACAUGUUAUGAGGAUAUCAUUUUGAGGUCUGAGAUGACAAAAUGUUCUUAAAAAAAAACAAAAAAAAAACACCUUCUAGAACAUUACUAAAAUGGCUUCUGCCCUGAGUGGUCAGCAGAAGUCAGCUGAAUUCCAGGGUCUCGAUUACAAAAGGAAGAAAAAGUCUGGCUUUGGUAUCUGAACUGUUGCCGAACGUGUUACAGGAGACGAGAAGCGCUGAUUGACCCACGUUUAAAUCCACCAAUCACUGCAUACUUUUCUCGUGACGUAAGAACAUUUGAAAUCGAUGAACCGCGCGAACGGCUGUUGAAGAAAUUGGUGUACAAUGUGCGUGGUCGGAAUCAUCUUAUUUUGACAGAACUAAGUGAGUACAGACGGAGUCUUUCACAUUCAAACGCAGCGGAAUCGGAUACAGAGGUGCUGGAGGAGGUUUUACUCGUUUCUACAGUGCGCGGUUCAAACAACAAACCUGUCUCCAGAACCUAAACUGCCUGCUUGAAGCUGAACACGGAUGACGCAAUACAAGUCUCCAUUUACAACAAAGGCCAUGAGGAAGAACUCUAUCAUGCACACAGUAAAUAGAGCUCAGUGCUGCUAACUGGGAGAGCAGCUGGAAAACUGGAGGAGAAGAACAGUUGAACACCUAUUAAUACAGAGGACUGUAUUAUCUUCUACAAGAACCACAACAAGCAAAGACAAUGAUGCUCUCUCUGAGCAAACAACAGUCAGAAGCUUGAUUAUGCACUGCACUUUUCUGAGUGCUUCAAAAUGUGAUGCUGAGUUAGAUUUUGAUGUUGUUAUUUUUUAGGUUAUUAAAUUGUAUGAUUUAAGAAUGUAAUAGCUAAGCUUUUUUUUUUUUUUUUGAGUGUUUAGGAUUCUGGGAACAAAAAAAAACUUCCUGCUAAAAACUUUAUAAGAAUGUAAAGGGAUAAUGUUAUGACUAAACAUGUAAAGAAGGUCACCACAGAAGUUUUUUAGAGUGUUUUUAGAGCAUGUCAUCCUACCUUUUAUAAGAACGUUCUAAGAACAAAAAUAAAGCUAAAAACUUUGUAAGAAUGUUAGGGAAUGAUGAUCUAACAAUGUUAUCACUAAACAUUUUUAGAAUGUUGGAAGAGAAUGUUAUCCUAUCUUAUAGGAAAAUGUUCUGGGACCAAAAAUAAAACUAC